rnacentral:rRNA from 1 species
UACGUAGGCAGCAAGCGUUGUUCGGAGUUACUGGGCGUAAAGCGUGCGUAGACGGUAGCGUAAGUCAGAUGUGAAAGCCCCGGGCUCAACCUGGGAAUUGCAUUUGAGACUGCUCUGCUCGGGUGCGGAAGAGGGAAGCGGAAUUUCCGGUGUAGCGGUGAAAUGCGUAGAUAUCGGAAGGAACACCAGUGGCGAAAGCGGCUUCCUGGUCCGACACCGACGUUCAGGCACGAAAGCGUGGGGAGCAAACAGG